GACGAACGCUGGCGGCGUGCCUAACACAUGCAAGUCGAACGAAGCAUUUAAGUGAAUCCCUUCGGGGUGAAGCUUUUAUGACUUAGUGGCGGACGGGUGAGUAACGCGUGAGUAACCUGCCUUUCAGAGGGGGAUAACAGUCGGAAACGACUGCUAAUACCGCAUAACGUAUUGAGAUCGCAUGACCUUGAUACCAAAGCUGAGGCGCUGAAAGAUGGACUCGCGUCUGAUUAGAUAGUUGGUGGGGUAACGGCCUACCAAGUCGACGAUCAGUAGCCGGACUGAGAGGUUGGUCGGCCACAUUGGGACUGAGACACGGCCCAGACUCCUACGGGAGGCAGCAGUGGGGAAUAUUGCACAAUGGGCGAAAGCCUGAUGCAGCAACGCCGCGUGAGGGAAGACGGUCUUCGGAUUGUAAACCUCUGUCUUUGGUGAAGAAGAAAGUGACGGUAACCAAGGAGGAAGCCACGGCUAACUACGUGCCAGCAGCCGCGGUAAUAC
rnacentral:rRNA from 1 species